rnacentral:rRNA from 1 species
GGGGGGAACCCUGAUCCAGCCAUGCCGCGUGUGUGAAGAAGGCCUUUUGGUUGUAAAGCACUUUAAGCGAGGAGGAGGCUACCGAGACUAAUACUCUUGGAUAGUGGACGUUACUCGCAGAAUAAGCACCGGCUAACUCUGUGCCAGCAGCCGCGGUAAUACAGAGGGUGCGAGCGUUAAUCGGAUUUACUGGGCGUAAAGCGUGCGUAGGCGGCUUUUUAAGUCGGAUGUGAAAUCCCUGAGCUUAACUUAGGAAUUGCAUUCGAUACUGGGAGGCUAGAGUAUGGGAGAGGAUGGUAGAAUUCCAGGUGUAGCGGUGAAAUGCGUAGAGAUCUGGAGGAAUACCGAUGGCGAAGGCAGCCAUCUGGCCUAAUACUGACGCUGAGGUACGAAAGCAUGGGGAGCAAACAGGAUUAGAUACCCUGGUAGUCCAUGCCGUAAACGAUGUCUACUAGCCGUUGGGGCCUUUGAGGCUUUAGUGGCGCAGCUAACGCGAUAAGUAGACCGCCUGGGGAG